AGUGAACGCUGGCGGUAGGCCUAACACAUGCAAGUCGAACGGCAGCACAGUAAGAGCUUGCUCUUACGGGUGGCGAGUGGCGGACGGGUGAGGAAUACAUCGGAAUCUACUUUUUCGUGGGGGAUAACGUAGGGAAACUUACGCUAAUACCGCAUACGACCUACGGGUGAAAGCAGGGGAUCUUCGGACCUUGCGCGAUUGAAUGAGCCGAUGUCGGAUUAGCUAGUUGGCGGGGUAAAGGCCCACCAAGGCGACGAUCCGUAGCUGGUCUGAGAGGAUGAUCAGCCACACUGGAACUGAGACACGGUCCAGACUCCUACGGGAGGCAACAGUGGGGAAUAUUGGACAAUGGGCGCAAGCCUGAUCCAGCCAUACCGCGUGGGUGAAGAAGGCCUUCGGGUUGUAAAGCCCUUUUGUUGGGAAAGAAAAGCAGUAGGUUAAUACCCCGCUGUUCUGACGGUACCCAAAGAAUAAGCACCGGCUAACUUCGUG
rnacentral:rRNA from 1 species